rnacentral:RNase_P_RNA from 1 species
UCAGUCGGCCGGACGGCCGCUCCGGCAGGUGCCGAAAGGCCGCCGGGGAGGAAAGUCCGGGCUCCCUUGACAUACGGUGCCGGAUAACGUCCGGCGGGGGCAACCCCAGGGAAAGUGCCACAGAGAACGAACCGCCCCGCUUCGCCUUCGGCUUCGCGGGGUAAGGGUGAAAAGGUGCGGUAAGAGCGCACCGCGGCUCCGGCAACGGAGCCGGCAUGGUAAACCCCACCGGGAGCAAAACCGAAUAGGGACGGCGUAGCGGGCUGUUCGCGCAAGCGAUAACGCCGCGGGGCGAUGUCAGGCCCGCCGUCCGGGUAGGUUGCUCGAGGCCAUGUGCAAAUAUGGUCCCAGAGGAAUGGCCGUCACGUAUCGUUCGCGCAAGCGGACGGUGCCUUACAGAACCCGGCUUACAGGCCGGCUGAUAUC